AUGCAACUCUGCUUGUUGUCUCUGCUACCUGUCACUUGUUCUUGUCUGUUUUCAUAAGUAGGGUUGGGAUAUCUACAUAUUAAGGUAAUUUUGGUUGCUACAUUGGGUAUCUACAUGUUUGUUCAGAGUACAUUUCAUUGGCUAACCAACCUGUUUACAGUCCAUCAACGUUAUCUGGUUUGGCAGUUCUUCCCGAUGGUGGACAUUGUUGUAUUCAUUGUAUCUAGGACUUCGUUUCUUCC